GACGAACGCUGGCGGCGUGCCUAAUACAUGCAAGUCGAGCGGGCCUCCGGAGGUGCUUGCACCUCCGGAAGGCCAGCGGCGGACGGGUGAGUAACACGUGGGCAACCUGCCUUUGAGGCCGGGAUAACACCGGGAAACCGGUGCUAAUACCGGAUAUGUCCUCUUUCGCGCCUGCGAGAGGGGAGAAAGACGGUCUUUAAGGCCGUCGCUCAAAGAGGGGCCCGCGGCGCAUUAGCUGGUUGGUGGGGUAAGGGCCUACCAAGGCGACGAUGCGUUGGCGGCCUGAGAGGGUGAUCGGCCACACUGGGACUGAGACACGGCCCAGACUCCUGCGGGAGGCAGCAGUAGGGAAUCAUCCGCAAUGGGCGAAAGCCUGACGGUGCAACGCCGCGUGAGUGAGGAAGGUUUUCGGAUCGUAAAGCUCUGUUGUGAGGGAAGAACAGCUUCCGGAGGAAAUGCCGGAGGUUUGCCGGUACCUCACCAGAAAGCCCCGGCUAACUACGUGCCAGCCGCCGCGGUAACAC
rnacentral:rRNA from 1 species